rnacentral:piRNA from 1 species
UCCUUGUCCACUCGCACCCCUCGCCGC